rnacentral:rRNA from 1 species
UACGUAGGGUGCAAGCGUUAAUCGGAAUUACUGGGCGUAAAGCGUGCGCAGGCGGUUUUGUAAGUCUGUUGUGAAAUCCCCGGGCUCAACCUGGGAAUGGCAUUUGGGACUGCAAGGCUGGAGUGCGGCAGAGGAGACUGGAAUUCCUGGUGUAGCAGUGAAAUGCGUAGAUAUCAGGAGGAAUACCGAUGGCGAAGGCAGGUCUCUGGGCUGACACUGACGCUCAUGCACGAAAGCGUGGGGAGCAAACAGG